GAAUAGCUCAGUUGGUAAAGUGUGAGACUCUCAAGCUCAGGGUCGGAGGUUUGAGCCCCAUGUUGGGCA